rnacentral:rRNA from 1 species
CACGUAGGGUGCGAGCGUUGUCCGGAAUUAUUGGGCGUAAAGAGCUCGUAGGCGGUGUGUCGCGUCGGCCGUGAAAACCUGCAGCUUAACUGUGGGCUUGCGGUCGAUACGGGCAUCACUGGAGUUCGGCAGGGGAGACUGGAAUUCCUGGUGUAGCGGUGAAAUGCGCAGAUAUCAGGAGGAACACCGGUGGCGAAGGCGGUGGUCUGGGCCGGCACUGACGCUGAGGAGCGAAAGCGUGGGGAGCGAACAGG